rnacentral:rRNA from 1 species
UACGAAGGGUGCAAGCGUUACUCGGAAUUACUGGGCGUAAAGCGUGCGUAGGUGGUUCGUUAAGUCUGAUGUGAAAGCCCUGGGCUCAACCUGGGAAUGGCAUUGGAAACUGGCGAUCUAGAGUGCGGUAGAGGGUAGUGGAAUUCCCGGUGUAGCAGUGAAAUGCGUAGAGAUCGGGAGGAACAUCUGUGGCGAAGGCGGUUCUCUGGGACGGUACUGACGCUGAGACGCGAAAGCGUGGGGAGCGAACAGG